AAAAAUUUGAAUUAUAAACUAUAAAUCUCUACUUUCCCUUCUUUUCUUUCCCUUUUUUUCUUUUUCUUUUCUUUUAAGUAGGACAGCCAAUUUUUUCUUUUUCUUGUAAACCAGGUAACAUGUGGCACGGCUUUAAAUCCAUAUGAUACACAAGUAGA
rnacentral:ribozyme from 14 species